AAGCAGGGGAUCGUAAGACCUUGUGCUUUUGGAGUGGCCGAUGCCUGAUUAGCUAGUUGGUAGGGUAAUGGCCUACCAAGGCGACGAUCAGUAGUUGGUCUGAGAGGACGACCAGCCACACUGGGACUGAGACACGGCCCAGACUCCUACGGGAGGCAGCAGUGGGGAAUUUUGGACAAUGGGCGCAAGCCUGAUCCAGCAAUGCCGCGUGAGUGAAGAAGGCCUUCGGGUUGUAAAGCUCUUUCAGUCGAGAAGAAAAGGUUGUGACUAAUAAUUGCAACUCAUGACGGUAUCGACAGAAGAAGCACCGGCUAACUACGUGCCAGCAGCCGCGGUAAUACGUAGGGUGCGAGCGUUAAUCGGAAUUACUGGGCGUAAAGGGUGCGCAGGCGGCUUUGUAAGUCAGAUGUGAAAUCCCCGGGCUUAACCUGGGAAUUGCGUUUGAAACUACAAGGCUAGA
rnacentral:rRNA from 1 species